CUUUCCUUCCUUCUCACCCUGUAUUCCUGUUUCUCUCUGGCACUAGCAAGUCACACAUCUAGCACAUACUCAAGGAAGGAUAUAAAUACAACCUUUUUAUCUGUAGUGAUACAAAGUAUUAACAAAUCACUAGGGAUCACCAUAGAGUCGAUAAACUGUUAUGUUUAUGUUUAAAUGUCUGAACUGCACAUUACAUCUGGCAUCCAUCACUAUUUAAUGGUGGAUGGAGUGUUUGAUUUUGCCUUUUAUGGAAGUUCUGGGUGUCUUCCCACCUUUUUCUGAUGAUGAGUCAGAUUAUCUGUACAGGUUCUCGUGUUACUUAAAAAUGGAUCCUAGAGUUCUAGAAGGAGUGUUCACUCAACUAAGAAGGCUGUGAUUAAUCUCUGAAUCAAAUGCAUAUAUAGUGGUUCUGUGGAAAAGUAUUUGAAGGCUAUAUAUAUUCAUUUUCUCCAGAGCUAAGAACAUUAAAAUUAAUGUUGGAGCCUGGGAAAACUUGUUUUUACUGCUAAGGUGAAUGUUCUAAUGUUCUGUGCAUUCAUAAAAUCUCUGGUUUCCUUUAUUCUUUUGAUCAGUUCCUGCUACAAGCCUUGAACCAGUUAUUAGAACUGAGGCUCCAGGGACAACAUUAGCUCCCAAACUGCCUCACCAACCAGGCCAUGCACAUCCCAAACCUAAAACCACAAGGAGUCCUGCAGCACCUCAGACAGAACUGGCUAGCAAAAUAUCACAAAGAACACACCAUCCGCGACCCAGACCUAAAGCCACAUUGAGCCCUCAAGCACCUCAGACAAAACCU